AAGUCGAACGAACGGAGGAAGAGCUUGCUCUUCCAAAGUUAGUGGCGGACGGGUGAGUAACACGUGGGCAACCUGCCUGUAAGUUGGGGAUAACUCCGGGAAACCGGGGCUAAUACCGAAUGAUAGAAUGUGGCGCAUGCCACGCUUUUGAAAGAUGGUUUCGGCUAUCGCUUACAGAUGGGCCCGCGGUGCAUUAGCUAGUUGGUAGGGUAAUGGCCUACCAAGGCAACGAUGCAUAGCCGACCUGAGAGGG
rnacentral:rRNA from 1 species